UUUGCUCUAUCAUUUUAUAUUGUUAGUGUCUUACGAUGCUUCUGAUGUUCAGAAUACUAGGUAUUUAUGUGUUUGUUUAUACAGGAAUAAUUUUUUAUUUAUUGGUCAGGGACAUGUAUUGCAUGUGUCAAUGACAUGCUAUUUUAAUUUAUUCCUGUAAUUGAACCAAUUAAUUAUUAAUACAGCACAACAUGUUAUUGAAUCUUCUGAUAAGUUGUUUAAAGAGGUCUAAUUUUGCAUUGGAAUGUAAUUGAUGCUAUAUUACCCCUUCUAUGGUGGUUGAGUUAUUAAAUUUUGUUCUCUUGCUGUAUAUGUU
rnacentral:lncRNA from 1 species